rnacentral:rRNA from 1 species
UGCCGCAGCCGCGGUAAUACCGGCAACCCAAGUGAUGGCCGAUCUUAUUGGGCCUAAAGCGUCCGUAGCUGGCCGCGCAAGUCCAUCGGGAAAUCCACCCGCCCAACGGGUGGCCGUCCGGUGGAAACUGCACGGCUUGGGACCGGAAGGCGCGACGGGUACGUCCAGGGUAGGAGUGAAAUCCCGUAAUCCUGGACGGACCGCCGAUGGCGAAAGCACGUCGCGAGAACGGAUCCGACAGUGAGGGACGAAAGCUAGGGUCUCGAACCGGAUUAGAAACCCUGGUAGUCC